AACGGAACCACGCCGGGAGGUGGGGAGGAGCCCAAGCCGGGGAGGUCCCUCCAGCGGCCGGCCCCCGGGCGCAGCGGGCGUAGGGGGUGUGGCCCGGGGGAGGGACGCUGUGGAGGCGGCACCUUCCGGUGGGGCCCCGACCCUUGGGGGCGGGGACGCUUACAAGGAAGAGCUGGUAGAGCUCCUCUCCCAUGGACCGGCGGACGUGCUCCUCCACCACCGGGAACAUCUGCACGAAGUACUGCGACGGCGGGCGGGGCGGCGGGGUGACUGCGGUGCCCUCGCCUGGGGCCCACCCACCCGCCGCCCCGCCGCUCACCUCCAGCGUGAGGCUGGCCUGCCGCUGGCUGUUGCAGUGGUCCGAGUUGCCCAUGGCGGCUAACAGGCCGUGCACCACGCGCAGGUGCAGCAUCUCCUCCGCGAUGCUCGUGUUGCUGCGCGCCAGGACCCUGGGCCGGGAAUUCGGGCGGCGGCGAGCCCUUGGGACCCUCUGGCGCCGGGCGGCCCGAGCCCCUCCGGGCCCCGCGGGCCCCGCCAGCUGGCUUGCCGCAUUCCACCCCCAUCCCCAUUCCCCCUGCCCGCUUACCCGAUGGCCUUGGCCGCCGCGGCCUGCUGCAAGAACACCGGCAGGUGGGCGGUGAGCUGGGGAACCAAGGAGUCUGGCGGAGGGGGCCGCCGUGAGGCGGGAGGACCUGCAUCCCAACCACCCCCCUCCAGCCUCAAUCUGAGCGACUCCCUACCGUUGAGGAUCUUGGGCUGCAGUUUUCUGGUCUCCUUGACGGACGGUAUCAGCAGCUCCACCAGGCCCUUGAGCAGGGUCUGGCACACGUCGUAGCUGACCAGGUCCUUGAUCAGCUCGAUGGCUGUUGAAGGGCAGAGGCCCUGGGGAGGCCUGACGCUCCAAACCGCCCCCACCCCCACCAAGCAAGCAAAGACCCCCUUGAACCAAGUUGCUUCCUUUUACCCCCAUCCCCUUCCUGCACUUUUCCUAGCACCUUUUACUGGCCAGCACCGUGCAAGAUGUGUGUGGGAGAAGCUGGGGAGGCAACACCACAGUCCUGCUGGAUCUGGGGCUAAGAGGAGGAGGAGGGGGUCGAGCCUCAUUCCCUUCACUCUCCCUUCACAGAACUACCUACAGAGGGAGGAAGAAAGGUUGGACGGCUCACCUCAGCAACUAGAUUUCAAGUAGCUUUGUCUGGCCUGUUCUCCCUCUGCCUCCACUCUGGACCACUGAGGAGUAGGUGUCCUGUGUCUCUGGCCAUUUGCUCACCAUGGAGUCCUGCUGUCAUCCAAUAAUAGCCUCUCCACUACUGUGAACACCAGUAAACAUAUCUGAGGCGCCUCUGCCUCCCCCAAGCCUCAAACCAGUCCAGUCCAUAAAAGUUGAAGAGAAUUGGCUGGAUUCCGCAUUCCCGCGCGCUAGAGACAAUUGAGGUGAUGGCAGCCCAAGACUGUGGAAACUGCCAGCCUGGUGGGAGAUGACCUCAGGAGAGGCUCUGCCCUGCCCGCUGCGGCCCUCGUCUGCCCUGAGCCUGGGAACUGUGCCUGGCCCUGCCUCUUCACAGGCUGGAGAUGGCGCAAGGCCAUCCUUCCAGCCCCGCCAUGGCCAACUCUGAGAGAACACUUGGAAGCCAGGACCUUAUGCUUCCUCGUCAGCCUAGAACUGAGCCACACGCCUGAGUACUCGCGGCAGAGAAGGCAGGCGCACGGAAAGGUGAAGGGACUGUAGCCCCUCCUGCGCAGUGGGGGACGAGGCGCAGGGGACCAGGGGCCAGUGAUAGGAGUGCACAGAUCUGCAGAGCGCAUGGAACGGGUGUCUACAGGCUGUGUGCAGCCCUUGCAAGCUUUACUAACUUAACUACAAACAUGCCUAUGGUGCCUAACCACAGACAUGUGCUGGUGACUUCUAAUCUUGUCGGAAGACCGUCACUGACAGUCCCCAGCAGCUCAGUGAGUGGCCUGUUCACCUGGAGGCAGAGGCUGGAGAGGCAGCCAGCAGCCCCAUCCUGGGUCUCAGACUCCAUACACUCUUCUCCUGCCUGGUGCUGAGCAUUGCCAGCGGCCAACACUCCCAGAAGGAGGGGGGCUGACUUCUCUCCAGGACUCAGAGUGCUCUUUGGCAGGAAGGAGAACCAAUUUGGGCUGAACCUUGGGAAACCCGAGUCCCAGUUCUCGGUCUUCACUUCCACGCGACUGCCACCUGCUGGCCACAUGUGAGAAGUGUGCUUCAGGGAGCGUCCAGGCACAGGUUUGCCUCCUUUCCCUGCUGGCAGGAGUGAGAAUACAUUUGGCGAGUUGCUAUUACAAGGAAGAGACCAGUGUCAAGGAGCUUCCUGACCAACUGCAUUCUAUCUCUGAAUCCUGUACAUCUCCUUACCUCUUUCAUCACAGCCUGUUCAAAGCCCACCGUUGAAACACAAAAAAAGCAUGUUUUAUACACUAUUUCUUUGAAAAAAGCCAGUUGAUAAAGGAAUGAAUGUUAUGUGCUCUAGUAGUAUAUGUACUGCUCAAUUAAGAAUGACUGUAGUGUAGGGCGCCUGGGUGGCUCAGCGGGUUGAGCCUCUGCUUUAAGCUCAGGUCAUGAUCUCGGGGUCCUGGCAUCAAGCCCUGCA